GUUAGAUGAUGAGCAAUACUACAGUAAGUGGAUUAAUUAUUGUACUUGAAUUUAAGGGCCGUGUAACGUCUGCACAUGAUUUAUCUAGAAAGUGGCAUGGACUGUUGGUCAUAACGGCAUUGUAUUAACUGAGUAAUAAAAGCCAAGAAAACAUAUUGUAUGUUGCCAUAUGAAAAUCUGCGGUAAUAAUUGUGUACGUCGGAUGGUUUUACUUAUUAAAAAUAUUCCUGUUAAGAAGAAAAACUAAGUUUGAUGUUGUUCAAGAAAUAAAUCAGUUGAAAGGCUCUAAAUAUUUG
rnacentral:misc_RNA from 1 species